AACCUCCGCAAUGUGAGAAAUCGCGACGGGGGGAUCCCAAGUGCCAUUCUUAACGGGAUGGCUUUUCUUAAGUGUAAAAGCUUUUGGAAUAAGAGCUGGGCAAGACCGGUGCCAGCCGCCGCGGUAACACCGGCAGCUCUAGUGGUAGCUGUUUUUAUUGGGCCUAAAGCGUUCGUAGCCGGUUUGAUGAGUCACUGGUGAAAUCCUGUAGCUUAACUGUGGGAAUUGCUGGUGAUACUGUUGAACUUGAGGUCGGGAGAGGUUAGCGGUACUCCCAGGGUAGAGGUGAAAUUCUGUAAUCCUGGGAGGACCACCUGUGGCGAAGGCGGCUAACUGGAACGAACCUGACGGUGAGGGACGAAAGCUAGGGGCGCGAACCGGAUUAGAUACCCGGGUAGUCCUAGCCGUAAACGAUGCGGACUUGGUGUUGGGAUGGCUUUGAGCCGCUCCGGUGCCGAAGGGAAGCUGUUAAGUCCGCCGCCUGGGAGUACGGUCGCAAGACUGAACUUAAAGGAAUU
rnacentral:rRNA from 1 species